rnacentral:piRNA from 1 species
AACCAGAAGACAAGUAGUUGUGUAUGAGUUA